AAUGAACGUUGGCGGCGUGGAUUAGGCAUGCAAGUCGAGCGAGAAGGCCUCCCACCCUUGCCCUUUCCCUGAUGGGAAAGGGUGGGGUGGGGGGCCGGACAGCGGCGAACGGGAGAGUAACGCGUGGAGCACCUACCCUUGGACCCGGGAUAGCCGUGGGAAACUGCGGGUAAUACCGGAUAACGUCUCCGGACCAAAGGUGUGAUUCCGUCCAGGGACGGCUCCGCGUCCUAUUAGCUAGUUGGUGGGGUAACGGCCUACCAAGGCGACGAUGGGUACCGGGUGUGAGAGCAUGACCCGGCUCACUGGGACUGAGACACUGCCCAGACACCUACGGGAGGCUG
rnacentral:rRNA from 1 species